UUGGCAUCGGAAAGGAGACUAUUUCACUACUGUCGUUCCUAGUGAUAUCCUAAUUAUGAAUUUUAGUUGUACUUAUUUUUAGUCAUUCCUAGUGCCUAUUUUAUAUCUCAGUUUUGUUUCUUUCUUUUUUCUAAUACACACUGACAAAUUGGAAAUAUAUAAAAAUCAUGACAUUAUACCUAGUUACCUAGCCUUUGAGGCUGGAAUCAGGAUGAAACCUAAAGUGCCCUGAAAAGUUUAGGCAUACCAAAUUCUCUCAGUUUAAUGACAGAGGUGUUUUAGAUUGUAAAUUUCAUCCGAGGCAGCCAUGGCUAUUCACAGCUGGAGCAGAUUCUGUCAUUAAACUGUAUUGCCACUAAUGAUAGAUUCUCCAGGAAACUUUGAAGAAUCUCCUCGAGUCAAGAUACGUGAGUACUUGCUGAUCCUACAUGAAUACGGUAGCAAGUUCAUGUUCUUUGCUUGAUAAUUUAUUCUUUUUUGACCAAUUCAUUUCCGCAAACCCCUUACCUGUAAGCACCAACUAGUAUCCUUAUUGUCAAGAAUUAAUUUUAUCAACGACUUAUAAGUUUGGUAUGCAUAUUUCUUAUGAUGUUGAACCUUGACUUUGAGACA